UGUAAACUGUCCCAGACUUCUUUACAUGU
rnacentral:piRNA from 1 species